rnacentral:rRNA from 1 species
GGGAUCUGCCGAAUGGAGGGGGACAACAGUUGGAAACGACUGCUAAUACCGCAUAAUGUCGCGAGACCAAAGCAUGGGACCUUAGGGCCAUGCGCCAUUUGAUGAACCCAUAUGGGAUUAGCUAGUAGGUGAGGUAAUGGCUCACCUAGGCGACGAUCUCUAGCUGGUCUGAGAGGGUGACCAGCCACACUGGGACUGAGACACGGCCCAGACUCCUACGGGAGGCAGCAGUGGGGAAUAUUGCACAAUGGGGGAAACCCUGAUGCAGCCAUGCCGCGUGUAUGAAGAAGGCCUUCGGGUUGUAAAGUACUUUCGGUAGCGAGGAAGGGGUUAUAUCUAAUAGGUGUAAUCAUUGACGUUAACUACAGAAGAAGCACCGGCUAACUCCGUGCCAGCAGCCGCGGUAAUACGGAGGGUGCGAGCGUUAAUCGGAAUGACUGGGCGUAAAGGGCAUGU